AAACCCCUACACAAAAGCCCGUACAUAGUUAUAACCCAUAAUUGAGAUCAGAAUGACAAGGUUGAAUUUUUUCAAAAGAUCAGAUAGUUGAGGAGUCAGGGAGAUCAAUUCAUGGAGGUAUCGGCAGUGUGUUAAACCACCUUUGCAUGAGAGAGGAGGAUAGGGACGGCGAUGAAGAUCUAUAGCUCAGUAUCUUGUCCCUGAUCAGACGAUCCAAGGAGGAGAUAAUCAUGUCUGAUGAUUGGAACCGCUGACUUUGGAGCCGCUGAUUCCGCUCACGCCACAAAAAGUAGAUCACCGCUUGCCAACAUAAGAG
rnacentral:lncRNA from 1 species